rnacentral:rRNA from 1 species
GUGGGGAAUAUUGGACAAUGGGGGGAACCCUGAUCCAGCCAUGCCGCGUGUGUGAAGAAGGCCUUUUGGUUGUAAAGCACUUUAAGCGAGGAGGAGGCUACCGUGAUUAAUACUCUUGGAUAGUGGACGUUACUCGCCGAAUAAGCACCGGCUAACUCUGUGCCAGCAGCCGCGGUAAUACAGAGGGUGCAAGCGUUAAUCGGAUUUACUGGGCGUAAAGCGCGCGUAGGUGGCCAAUUAAGUCAAAUGUGAAAUCCCCGAGCUUAACUUGGGAAUUGCAUUCGAUACUGGUUGGCUAGAGUAUGGGAGAGGAUGGUAGAAUUCCAGGUGUAGCGGUGAAAUGCGUAGAGAUCUGGAGGAAUACCGAUGGCGAAGGCAGCCAUCUGGCCUAAUACUGACACUGAGGUGCGAAAGCAUGGGGAGCAAACAGGAUUAGAUACCCGGGUAGUCC